rnacentral:lncRNA from 1 species
CUGCAAUAUGAAGGAGCAUAUGCCCAAUACUAUAAAAAUUGCUCAAACACAAGGAAUACAUGUUAACACUAAAAAACAAAGCAUUAAGAAGAUAAAGGCUUCAGCAUUUGGCCUGAAGUACAAUUUACAUUGUACAAACGGGGACAAGAGAGGAGAGGAACUGUAUGUGAAAAGAAAAACAUUAGCAAAUCUGAGGUAUAAUGAGCAUGAUAUCUGACUGAUGCUCAAGAUGUACUCAACAUAGAAAGCAACUCCNCAUUUGGCCUGAAGUACAAUUUACAUUGUACAAACGGGGACAAGAGAGGAGAGGAACUGUAUGCGAAAAGAAAAACAUUAGCAAAUCUGAGGUAUAAUGAGCAUGAUAUCUGACUGAUGCUCAAGAUGUACUCAACAUAGAAAGCAACUCCCUAGCAAUGUGCACUAAUAUAGAUCCAAAUACUCUACUGUAAAGAAA